GAAGAUACGCAUACCAGUUAUCACUAAAGUCAAGAACGCAAGCACGCAACAUGUAUUCCAAUGUCUAGAUCGUAUGUUCUGACUGACCAUCUUUAUGGGAUGAUAAGUGGUGAUGAAGUACAACCCAAACCCUAGAGCUUCUUUGAAGAUGUCCCAAGAGUGAGAAGUGAACCGAGAUCACGGUCGGACACAAUGGAUGAGGGAACUCUAUGGAGUCAAAUAA
rnacentral:lncRNA from 1 species